ensembl:lncRNA
CCCUUAGUUGACCUCGCACUGAAGCCCCAAAGCAUGAAUGACUAAAAACGCAAUUGCAGACAGACAAAAACAUUAACAAGUACUGAAAUUUCAGUCAGUUCCUCCUGUUUUGCUAUCUUGAGGUCAGUGGGGGUGGGAGUGAAGGGGGGGGCGUAGCUCUACACACAGCACCAGGCCUACACACAUGUAACCUGUAUGUCGCUGCUGUGUCUGUGAUGUGUUCAUUUUGUAGUGCAUGACUGUUACUUUUACUGCUCUUCCAGCCACAUUCUCCCUUUUCGCUAACUACAGCUAAAAUGGCUGCUGGGCCCAUGGAUGCCAUGUUGAGUGUGACCGGGGGGAAGAAAAUUAGUCGCACAGUGCCACGGACGCACUCCCCACCCACAAAGAGUGAUCCAUAAUGCUGGAGGCCAAGAAAAACUGCCACAGAAACCUCCCAUCACACAAGGACCGAGAGGUGCGUAAGACCGCCACACAUACAAAGAGUUAUGUAGUCGGCCGUACCUCAAAAACACCACCUAGGGGACUCCUGGCAUGGCAACCUAGGAUGACAGUGUCAUGGUCUUUCUACCUUUUUGUGUCCAUCAGGCAUACACUCAGUGUCUUAUCGUCCAUGCCAUCUGACCAAGGUUUCUUAAGCCUUCUGCGAACACAAUGUCUUUUAAGCGAGACCUCAUAUGAAAGCAUUACAUGUGAUCAUGGAUUCGUUUUUUUCUGGGAAGUUUAACCCAAAUGUAGUGUGAAUCACUCCAUACACACGGCUGAAAUGCGUUCAUGCCAGUGCAAGCACUAAGCCUUAAUCUAAGACCCACCCUACAAUUCGAAGAAUUUUGUUUCAAGUUGCCAUACUUCCUAAGAGGCAAACCGUAUAGAUUGGGUAUGCAGGAAUUGUUGCCUUGGCUUGUUGUGUGGCAUUUGGUGUUUUUUGAAGUGUUUCCAGUAAGGCGAGACGAGACGUGCACUCAAAACUGAGAUGCUGCGGCCGCUCUGUGAAGGGAGAGCUCUGCUCUAAGGACUCAAAGGGUGGUAAGCCAAAAACACAAGAAAAGCAGGUAGGGCCUUGCACCUUCAGUCCACCCACACAUGGUAGGUGAGUAACCACACACACACUGCUGACCAGAUCAGUCCCAUGCCUCCCCCCUCAGCCACUCUACAAAUCUACUCCCUUCCCAUAAAGUCUCCAGGUUUUCCCCUUCCCAGUCAUGGAGCAGUUGCCAACGCAACAGAUGCCCAAACCUGGCUUUCAGGAGAUUUCAGCAGACUGUGGUUGUAGUGCAUCAAGAAAAGUAAGAUUUGGAUUACCCUCAUAUUGGAUGUGAAGUCACAACACCCCCAUCUCCCAUCAGGAUUGGGCAUCUUUAUAUGGACCUCCAAACUGAAGUGGUCCAGCCAUUUUAAAUGGACCCCUUGAGUCCCUCCUGACUAUAAAUAUGAAUUUUUGUGGUUUCUUUUUUCCUUUUAGUUUUAAGCUGUAAAUUUGCAUAACAGUUUGCAUUUCAUGUGUCUUCGUAACGAACACAUUUGCAUUUCGUGAUUUUUAUUUUGCUAGUGGAUCAAAGUUUCGGACGAAUGAAAAUGUAUGUAUGAUGAGUAAGAGACCGAAAUAUUAAGAAUCCAGCCCACCUCCCCAUCCCCUCCCUCAUUAGAUGACAAUUGUCUAACUGUUGGAGUGUUUCAGAGUGUCUCUUUCUGGUUGAAAUUGGCUCCUCUAAAGCUUUGGGUAGCCUUAAUACUUUGUAAUAUCUGUUCUUUGUAAGACUCAAUAAAUGAUACGGAAAGGCAUCAAUGUGUCACUCAUUUUCUCCCUUGCGUCUUCUGCUGAGAGGCCUAUUAAUUUCAUGAUUAUUCUACAGCGAUUGUAAUGAGCUUUGUUCCGGAUGACAUCUCCCUUAAGUGUCUCAAUUUUGUUUAGUCAUUACUACCGCACGCUGAAGCCUAUAUGCAGUAUUAUGUUAAGUCAUUUCAUGACCGUUU